rnacentral:misc_RNA from 1 species
GAUGAAGAACGUAGCGAAAUGCGAUACUUGGUGUGAAUUGCAGAAUUCAGUGAAUCAUCGAAUCUUUGAACGCACAUUGCGCCCUCUGGUAUUCCGGGGGGCAUGCCUGUUCGAGCGUCAUUAUAACCACUCAAGCUCUCGCUUGGUAUUGGGGUUCGCGGUUCCGCGGCCCCUAAAAUCAGUGGCGGUGCCUGUCGGCUCUACGCGUAGUAAUACUCCUCGCGAUUGAGUCCGGUAGGUCUACUUGCCAGCAACCCCCAAUUUUUACAGGUUGACCUCGGAUCAGGUAGGGAUACCCGCUGAACUUAAGCAUAUCAAUAAGCGGAGGA